AGCAUGUGGUUAAUUCGAAGCAACGCGAAGAACCUUACCAGGUCUUGACAUCCCGAUGCUAUUCUAGAGAUAGAAAGUUACUUCGGUACAUCGGUGACAGGUGGUGCAUGGUUGUCGUCAGCUCGUGUCGUGAGAUGUUGGGUUAAGUCCCGCAACGAGCGCAACCCUUGCUAUUAGUUGCUAACAGGUUAAGCUGAGCACUCUAAUGGGACUGCCGGCGACAAGCCGGAGGAAGGUGGGAUGACGUCAAGUCCUCAUGGCCUUUAUGUCUAGGGCUACACACGUACUACAAUGGCCGGUACAAAGGGCAGCCACUCAGCGAUGAGGCGCUAAUCCCAUAAAGCCGGUCUCAGUCCGGAUCGCAGUCUGCAACUCGACUGCGUGAAGUUGGAAUCGCUAGUAAUCGUAGAUCAGCAUACUACGGUCGAAUACGUUCCCGGGCCUU
rnacentral:rRNA from 1 species